GUAGGGGGCAAGCGUUAUCCGGAUUUACUGGGUGUAAAGGGAGCGUAGACGGAGGAGCAAGUCUGAAGUGAAAGCCCGCGGCUCAACUGCGGGACUGCUUUGGAAACUGUUCAUCUAGAGUGUCGGAGAGGUAAGUGGAAUUCCUAGUGUAGCGGUGAAAUGCGUAGAUAUUAGGAGGAACACCAGUGGCGAAGGCGGCUUACUGGACGAUGACUGACGUUGAGGCUCGAAAGCGUGGGGAGCAAA
rnacentral:rRNA from 1 species